rnacentral:tRNA from 2 species
GCGGGCGUUGCAUAGUGGUAAUGCCGAAGCCUUCCAAGCUUCUGAUGUGGGUUCGAUUCCCAUCGCCCGCU